rnacentral:lncRNA from 1 species
UUUCAAAGUGUCUGCUCAUGAUGUAGCUGCAUUAUAGUGAUGGAAAGUUUAUUAUUGAUCUAUUCACCUAAGUGCUUGGAAUUUCAUGCUUGUGUGAGGACAUAGCAUGGGCACUGGGCCCAUAUGGACAAAGAUGGAACUGAGAACACUGCAUAAAAGUUACAACACUUAAAGGAUUAUACCCUAUGUGAAAAGGCAGUCUAAGUAAAAAUCUAUCCAUCAGUACAGGGAGAUGUCAAGGAAAUUAAAACUGUAUAUAGAUGGGUUAAAUAGCAAUUUGAUACAGCAAAGGAGUUCAUAAACUGGAAAACAGAUUUGAGGAAUUUAUCAAAAAGGCACAAAGACAUAAAGGUCUGGAAAACAUGAAAGAUUAAGAAGAUGGAAGAGGGAAUGAGGAAGUCUAAUAUAUAUUUAAUUCCAAAAGUAGAAAAUAGGAUACUUUAAAAAAAUUUUUUAAGAUAAUGGCUGAACUUUUACAUAAAUGACUAAAGAACUUGAAUCCUGAAGUUCAAUAAUAAUAAGUUCUGAGGAGAAUAAGUUAAACUAAUUCCAAAGUUAGCCACAACAUAAUAAAACUUCAGCAAUUCAAAGACAAAUAAGAGAUCUCUAAAAGCUAUGCAAAAAUAAUCAUAAACAUAGAAUUCAAUGCCCAGCUAAACUUUCAUUAAAAAGUGAAGGUGAAAUAAAUAUUCUUUUUAAAGACCAAGAAAGUUUACUGCUCACAGAUAAUGAUGAAAUUAGCACCUCCAUAACUGACCAAACUUUAUGCUAUGAUUUCUAAAAGUUAAAAACUGAACUGACAAAAAUAUUCUAAUAUUCUACUCACUUGAACAACUAUCACGACCCCUUUACAGAUCUUCAAUGCCAUAUUCCUCUAUUUCUUCAUAACAAAGAAGCCCCUCUUUUUUUUCUUUUGUCCUCAACCAGGGAUCAAACCCUCACCCUUCCAGUGGAAGCACAAAGUCUUAACCACUGAACCACCAGAGCAGUUUCUGAACCUCCUUCUUUUAAAAGGUGUCCUCCCUGGAUCAGCAGGUGAAGGCUUCUUGGAACAUCUCCUUCUCUUAUAGAAUGGGAUGACAGGAAGAGAUGCUCAUGAGAAGAGAAACAGGAAGAGGAGAAUGGGGAGGAGAUUUGGUCAUACUGAAGGGAUAUCGGAGGCAUGCUAAACAAAGAGGAAUGUGCUGCUAUAUUCAAAAUGGGUAACCAACU